GAAAGAUAUGUAUUGAACAUCAAAAUUAACUAAGUAUAUACUUAUAUCCUUAAGAACAUACAAUGUCAUCUUCUAUAUUCUGAUAAUUAAACAAUUAACAUAAGUUAUACAGAUUAAAAAAUAUGCUAAAAUACUAAUUAUAAAUAGAAAAUGAAAAAGAAAAAAGAAAACAGAAUAAUUAUAAGAAAAUGAAAAUGAUAU
rnacentral:lncRNA from 1 species